CUCCGGGUGGUCUAGUUGGUUCAUGGCGUCCGGCUGUAAUUGCUCAGUUUACCGGAAUGUCGCGUGUUCGAUUCACGCCCUGGAGA
rnacentral:tRNA from 3 species